rnacentral:rRNA from 1 species
AUUGAACGCUGGCGGCAUGCUUUACACAUGCAAGUCGAACGGUAGACCCUUUCGGGGGUUGAGAGUGGCGAACGGGUGAGUAAUGCAUCGGAACAUACCCAGUCGUGGGGGAUAACGUAGCGAAAGUUACGCUAAUACCGCAUACGUCCUGAGGGAGAAAGCGGGGGAUCUUCGGACCUCGCGCGAUUGGAGUGGCCGAUGUCAGAUUAGCUAGUUGGUGGGGUAAAGGCCCACCAAGGCGACGAUCUGUAGCGGGUCUGAGAGGAUGAUCCGCCACACUGGGACUGAGACACGGCCCAGACUCCUACGGGAGGCAGCAGUGGGGAAUUUUGGACAAUGGGCGCAAGCCUGAUCCAGCCAUGCCGCGUGCGGGAAGAAGGCCUUCGGGUUGUAAACCGCUUUCGGACGGAAAGAAAUCGCUUGGGUUAAUACCCUGAGUGGAUGACGGUACCGUAAGAAGAAGCACCGGCUAACUACGUGCCAGCAGCCGCGGUAAUACGUAGGGUGCGAGCGUUAAUCGGAAUUACUGGGCGUAAAGCGUGCGCAGGCGGAUUGUUAAGCAAGAUGUGAAAUCCCCGGGCUUAACCUGGGAAUUGCAUUUUGAACUGGCAGUCUGGAGUGCGGCAGAGGGGGGUGGAAUUCCACGUGUAGCAGUGAAAUGCGUAGAGAUGUGGAGGAACACCGAUGGCGAAGGCAGCCCCCUGGGCCUGCACUGACGCUCAUGCACGAAAGCGUGGGGAGCAAACAGGAUUAGAUACCCUGGUAGUCCACGCCCUAAACGAUGUCAACUGGCUGUUGGGUGCGUGAGUACUCAGUAGCGAAGCUAACGCGUGAAGUUGACCGCCUGGGGAGUACGGCCGCAAGGGCCGCAAGGUUGAAAACUCAAAAGGAAUUGACGGGGGCCCGCACAAGCGGUGGAUGAUGUGGAUAAUUUCGAUGCAACGCGAAGAACCUUACCUACCCUUGACAUGGCAGGAACUUGCCAGAGAU